UACGUAGGGUGCGAGCGUUAAUCGGAAUUACUGGGCGUAAAGCGUGCGCAGGCGGUUCGUUGUGUCCGAUGUGAAAGCCCCGGGCUUAACCUGGGAAUGGCAUUGGAAACUGGCGAGCUUGAGUGCGGCAGAGGGGGGGUGGAAUUCCGCGUGUAGCAGUGAAAUGCGUAGAGAUGCGGAGGAACACCGAUGGCGAAGGCAGCCCCCUGGGUCGACACUGACGCUCAGGCACGAAAGCGUGGGGAGCAAACAGG
rnacentral:rRNA from 1 species